GAACGCGAAAGUGGAGCAAUCCAUGAGUAGAGUGGCAAACGGGUGAGUAACGCGUGGGUGACCUGCCUCCGAGUGGGGGAUAACGUCUCGAAAGGGACGCUAAUACCGCAUAACAUCCUGUCUUUUAAGAGAUGGAGAUCAAAGCCUGGGACCGCAAGGCCAGGCGCUUGAAGAGGGGCCCGCGUCUGAUUAGCUAGUUGGUGGGGUAAUGGCUCACCAAGGCAUCGAUCAGUAUCCGGCCUGAGAGGGCGGACGGACACACUGGGACUGAGACACGGCCCAGGCUCCUACGGGAGGCAGCAGUGGGGAAUUGUUCGCAAUGGGCGCAAGCCUGACGACGCAACGCCGCGUGGAGGAUGAAGACCUUCGGGUCGUAAACUCCUUUCGAUCGAGACGAAUGGCCUCUGGGUAAACAGCUCGGAGGAAUGACGGUACCGAGAGAAGAAGCCCCGGCUAACUCCGUGCCAGCAGCCGCGGUAAUACGGGGGGGGCAAGCGUUGUUCGGAAUUACUGGGCGUAAAGGGCUCGUAGGUGGCCAACUAAGUCAGACGUGAAAUCCCUCGGCUUAACCGGGGAACUGCGUCUGAUACUGGAUGGCUUGAGUUUGGGAGAGGGACGCGGAAUUCCAGGUGUAGCGGUGAAAUGCGUAGAUAUCUGGAGGAACACCNGUGGCGAAGGCGGCGUCCUGGACCAACACUGACACUGAGGAGCGAAAGCCAGGGGAGCAAACGGGAUUAGAUACCCCCGGUAGUCCUGGCCCUAAA
rnacentral:rRNA from 1 species